rnacentral:rRNA from 1 species
AUGGAGUAUUCAGAUACAGUCAAGUACCAUGGAGUUCCUCAAGAUGCAAUCAUGUGUAGGUUGUUCACAUUCUCUCUCCGUGAUGAUGCUCGUGCUUGGUAUCGAUCCUUGCCAUCAAGGUCAUACAGUUGGAAUGAGAUAUCACGAGCUUUCUUGGAUAAAUAUUUCCCACUACACAAGCAAUCCGCAAUUCGAGAUGAGAUCUUCAAUUUCAUUCAGCAUGAAGCGGGUGGAGCUAUUACAAACAAGACACUUGAUGAAGCUUUUCUGCUGAUUGAGAGCAUAGCUUUCCACCAACUUCAGUGGUACAAUAAGAAGCCCACGUCUGAUUCAUUGGUUUGCUUGCAACAAAUCACUACACCUCAGCCACCAAUUCUUACACAGAAGCCUAAACCUCUAUCUCAGUGUGACAAGGUUGAGCUUGCAUGGAUUAUCUUCGACGAUGAUGACACCAUUCUAGUUGACACACACGCUACAGAUCAUAUGGAUACUAGUGUUGGAUACUCGGUUUUGCAUUGUGAUGAUUCUUCCAUUGAUGAGCCAGAGCUGUAG